rnacentral:rRNA from 1 species
CAGCCGCCGCGGUAAUACGUAGGUGGCAAGCGUUGUCCGGAAUUAUUGGGCGUAAAGGGCUCGCAGGCGGUCUCUUAAGUCUGAUGUGAAAGCCCCAGGCUCAACCGGGGAGGGUCAUUGGAAACUGGGAAACUUGAGUGCAGAAGAGGAGAGUGGAAUUCCACGUGUAGCGGUGAAAUGCGUAGAGAUGUGGAGGAACACCAGUGGCGAAGGCGACUCUCUGGUCUGUAACUGACGCUGAGGAGCGAAAGCGUGGGGAGCGAACAGGAUUAGAUACCCCGGUAGUCCCUGUCUCUUAUAA